UUGUACACACCGCCCGUCACACCAUGAGAGUCUGUAACGCCCGAAGCCGGCGGGAUAACCGAAAGAGUCAGCCGUCUAAGGCGGACAGAUGAUUAGGGUGAAGUCGUAACAAGGUAGCCGUAGAGAACCUGCGCUGGAUCACCUCCUUUCUAAGG
rnacentral:rRNA from 1 species